GCCGGGAUGGUGGAAUUGGCAGACACGUACGUUUGAGGGGCGUAUGGGGAAACCCUUGUGGGUUCAAAUCCCACUCCCGGCAC
rnacentral:tRNA from 1 species